GUGUGUGCACGUGCUGCUGGUCUUGUGGGACCACACAGCCUCUCAGAGGAGCUGCCAUCCAGUGGCCGAGUCAGGGCAGCUGCAGCCAGCAGGAGGAGCUGAUGGGCAUCAUUGCUGCCCAAGGCCUCCAGGGCCACUUAAUCCUACAACCCCCGAGCCUUCGAGCUGGGUUGGUUAACCUUGCUUUGAAGAAAAUGCAUUAUAUCUCAGGCCUGGGGUCAGGAGGCUACUGGGAGAAGACCCUGGUCUCUGAGCCACCUGAAGGUGCCCUUUGCCCAGAUGGGGUAGGAGAGACGUUCCCAGUGGUCCUGCAUCAGGGCCCAGGCUCCCCUCCCAGAGCGUGUGACCAGCAAGGGGCCCCUAAAUCAUCAGUGAAAAUGCUUUGGACAGGAGAGGAAGGACCUUCAGAAGCCAGUAGCCUAUCCAGGAGCCGAAAGAACAGAAGCACUCUGGGUGUGUCCCGGCCUCCUGACUCGUGACUGCUGCGCGGGGGUCCAGAAUCAUGGAUCUUACAGGGGCUCAUCCUUUGUCGUGAGCCUUGUUCUCACGGCCUGCCUGAAGUCCGACGCCCAGAGGCUGGCGGAAGCUGCUGGGUCCACGGCUGCCGAAGGAGGAGCUGGAACGUGAACGCCGGCAGAACUUUGCCCAUGUCUGAGAUUUCUAGAACCUUCUUCCCCCUGCAGGCUUUUGUGCCUUCUGCCCCUUUUGCCUCCCGGCCCUUUGUUUAGUGACUUCCUGCCGGUCCUCGGGUGACCCUUGGACACACUGGGGUGCGCCCCCUGCCGGGGCUGGGACCCUUUUCUGCCUUCCCCAGCCUGUUCUCCGUACCCUAGACUGCGGAGUCUUGGGGCUCGUCACCUCUGUGUCCCCCAACACCAUGCACAGUGGCUCCCCCAGAGCAAGCACUCUAUAAUUUAUUCACUUAAUGAGCAUUUCUGGAUUUAGGGAGUAAUGUGGCUCAGCUGGUAAAGAAUCUGCCUGCAAUGCGGGAGAAGGGAAAGGCUACCCACUCCAGUAGUCUGGCCUGGAGAAUUCCAGGGACUGUAUAGUCCAUGAGGUUGCGAAGAGUCAGACACGACUGAGUGACUUUC
ensembl:lncRNA